CCUACGGGUGGCAGCAGUGAGGAAUAUUGGUCAAUGGACGAGAGUCUGAACCAGCCAAGUAGCGUGAAGGAUGACUGCCCUAUGGGUUGUAAACUUCUUUUAUAUGGGAAUAAAACGUUCCACGUGUGGGAUUUUGUAUGUACCAUAUGAAUAAGGAUCGGCUAACUCCGUGCCAGCAGCCGCGGUAAUACGGAGGAUCCGAGCGUUAUCCGGAUUUAUUGGGUUUAAAGGGAGCGUAGGUGGAUUGUUAAGUCAGUUGUGAAAGUUUGCGUCUCAACCGUAAAAUUGCAGUUGAAACUGGCAGUCUUGAGUACAGUAGAGGUGGGCGGAAUUCGUGGUGUAGCGGUGAAAUGCUUAGAUAUCACGAAGAACUCCGAUUGCGAAGGCAGUUCACUGGACUGCAACUGACACUGAGGCUCGAAAGUGUGGGUAUCAAACAGGAUUAGAUACCCCUGUAGUC
rnacentral:rRNA from 1 species